ensembl:lncRNA
CCGGGCUCCAGUUGGCCAGAAACUCUUAGUCUUCUUUUACAAAGACUGUGAAUCUGUAGCACAGUCUCAUCCGGGGUGACUCGCACCCGCGGAGGGUCUCGUCUCCAAGGACGCCUUUCAAGUGCUUCUCAAGAGCUGGUUUUUCACUCACAGAAUUCGCCAUUAGGUGGCAUCUGAGCCAGGGUCCCUUAGCGGAGAGGCCUGACCCUGGGAGGCAGCGCGUUUGCAGGGGCCGCCUGCUUCGAGCCAGGAUCUGACUCAUCGUGGAGGAGCAGCCCGGAAAGUGACCGGGGCUCACUCGGACGCUGUGUAGAAGGGAACCUCUUCGGGCCCAGAGCGGGACAACGGACACGGCCGGCCUGAAGGCCACCUCCCCGGAAAUGAGAAAUGAAGGUGGCGGAACAAUGAAGACCUGGGGGCUCAUACACUGUCUUGGACACAAGCUUCGUGUCACAAGUUCGAUCCCAAGAUAAUCAAAUGAUAUUGCAAACAGCCUCCCCUGAUUCGAAACCUGCGGCGACCCCCUGGUCUCUCACCCAGUGAUGGGGGGCGCGGGGGAGCUGGUGUCAGGAUUUCCCGGGGCGGGGGGCAGACGUGGUUUGACAAAGAACAUCUGAUGUGUCUGUUGCUUUCGUGACACAAAAAUCCAGAAGGAAAGCUCGAUGAAGUCUACGGGCAGGCCCGUGCACAAGACAGAAGGGGCAAGCACUGCAAGGGCAGCAAGUUUUUGAAAAGACAUCAGAACCGUAAAUACAGUGACAAGGACCAUGUAUGAGGCCCUCGAUGUGCAGUGUCCCCGGCGUCCACGGGUCCACGAAGGAAGCCUCCAAGUUGACACCUCCCGCCGCCCUUGGCAGCGCCGUCCUCCUGGGGCCGAGGCUGGAGCUCCCCGCUGGCUCGCUCCCCGGCCGGCCACCUGCCCCGCGGGCCACCUGCCCAGACGGGCCCUGCGUCCCCCGUGCCCGCUGCCCCGACUGAAUGGCUCUCAAGUACCCCGUUUGCUCCGGGUUAGAGGCUGGCACACCUGAAGCUGUCAAACUGGAUCGUGUGUUCGGAAGCACGAACGGGCCCGAGCGAUCCCCGGCCCUGGCUCCAGCAUCCGUUCCCAGCCUGUUCAUUUUCUACCAUGUUUCUGUCCGUCUGCCUGGAUACAAACAUUCUUCUCUCAGCAGCAGCAGCAGCUGGCAGAUGCCUGUGGUUUAUAAAAGAGUAUGGAGACAUAAGAACUAUAUCUGGGAACAGCCGCCCUUAAUAACAAACUGAUUCGUGCUCUAGAAUUUUCUUCAUUAAAUGGACGUGAAGGAACAGACUUUUCUGCCCACCAGGUGACUUACUACUGCAUUUGCUCUUAAAUCAUUGGUCGUUUGUUGUUACUAGCAGCACCCAGGCACCCAGCACCUGAGCAUGGCUGUUAGAAAUGAGGUUAAAUGAUCUGAUUCCAGAAAGAAAAAUCUUUUAUGAUCAACAGUAAUAGGCAGGACCUAUUUAGAGCCAGACACCACCCACUGCGAUGUGCUUAGUUGUCCCCAUGAAAAGGUAACAGAGAAAGGUAGCAGCCAAGCAUUUUCCAGGUAGACUUGUAGGCCUAGGCUCGUCUAUGCAACGGUCAUUAAUAGUUCUUGGUUUCUCUGUUGAUGGGAAUGCCCAGAGAUUUGACAUGUCUGUCAGCCAAAGUAGAGACUGUGAGACUCCUGGGUGGGGCAAUCUAGAGAAUAAAGAGAGACGCUCCCCAGUUUUAGAGACUCCA